UACGGAGGGGACUAGCGUUGUUCGGAAUUACUGGGCGUAAAGCGCACGUAGGCGGAUUUGUAAGUCAGGGGUGAAAUCCCGGGGCUCAACCUCGGAACUGCCUUUGAUACUGCAAAUCUCGAGUCCGGAAGAGGUGAGUGGAAUUCCUAGUGUAGAGGUGAAAUUCGUAGAUAUUAGGAAGAACACCAGUGGCGAAGGCGGCUCACUGGUCCGGUACUGACGCUGAGGUGCGAAAGCGUGGGGGAGCAAACAGG
rnacentral:rRNA from 1 species